rnacentral:rRNA from 1 species
GACGAACGCUGGCGGCGUGCUUAAUACAUGCAAGUCGAACGGAAAGGCCCUGCUCUUGUGGGGUGCUCGAGUGGCGAACGGGUGAGUAACACGUGUGUAACCUGCCCUUGACUUUGGGAUAACUUCAGGAAACUGGGGCUAAUAUCGGAUAGGAGCUCCUGCUGCAUGGUGGGGGUUGGUAAGUUUCGGCGGUUGGGGAUGGACUCGCGGGUUAUCAGCUUGUUGGUGGGGUAGUGGCUUACCAAGGGUUUGACGGGUAGCCGGCCUGAGAGGGUGAACGGCCACAAUGGGACUGAGGUACGGCGCAGAAUCGUACGGGAGGCAGCAGUGGAGAGUAUGGCAGAGUGGGCGGAAGCCUGAUGCAACAGCGCCGCGUGCGGGAUAACGGGCUUCGGGUUGUAAACCGCUUUCGCCGGUGACGAGGCGUGAGUGACGGUAAUGGGUAAAGAAGCACCGGCUAACUACGUG